CCUACGGGAGGCAGCAGUGGGGAAUCUUGCGCAAUGGGCGAAAGCCUGACGCAGCCAUGCCGCGUGUAUGAUGAAGGUCUUAGGAUUGUAAAAUACUUUCACCGGGGACGAUAAUGACGGUACCCGGAGAAGAAGCCCCGGCUAACUUCGUGCCAGCAGCCGCGGUAAUACGAAGGGGGCUAGCGUUGCUCGGAAUUACUGGGCGUAAAGGGAGCGUAGGCGGGUAGUUUAGUCAGAGGUGAAAGCCCAGGGCUCAACCUUGGAACUGCCUUUGAUACUGGCUAUCUUGAGUAUGGGAGAGGUGAGUGGAACUCCGAGUGUAGAGGUGAAAUUCGUAGAUAUUCGGAAGAACACCAGUGGCGAAGGCGACUCACUGGCCCAUUACUGACGCUGAGGCUCGAAAGCGUGGGGAGCAAACAGGAUUAGAUACCCUGGUAGUCCACGCCGUAAACGAUGAGUGCUAGUUGUCGGCAUGCAUGCAUGUCGGUGACGCAGCUAACGCAUUAAGCACUCCGCCUGGGGAGUACGGUCGCAAGAUUAAAACUUAAAUGAAUUGACGGCUUGAGACUUCCGAAGGCACGACAGGGGAUUAGG
rnacentral:rRNA from 1 species